rnacentral:rRNA from 1 species
CUACGGGAGGCAGCAGUGGGGGAUAUUGCACAAUGGGCGAAAGCCUGAUGCAGCAACGCCGCGUGAAGGAAGACGGAUUUCGGUCUGUAAACUUCUAUCAGCUGGGAAGAAAAUGACGGUACCAGACUAAGAAGCCCCGGCUAACUACGUGCCAGCAGCCGCGGUAAUACGUAGGGGGCAAGCGUUAUCCGGAUUUACUGGGUGUAAAGGGUACGUAGGCGGUCGCUUAAGUCAGAUGUGAAAGCCCGAAGCUCAACUUCGGGACUGCGUUUGAAACUGGGUGACUAGAGUACAGGAGAGGAAAGCGGAAUUCCUAGUGUAGCGGUGAAAUGCGUAGAUAUUAGGAAGAACACCAGUGGCGAAGGCGGCUUUCUGGACUGUAACUGACGCUGAGGUACGAAAGCGUGGGGAGCGAACAGGAUUAGAUACCCUAGUAGUC